GCCUGAGUGCCUAAGAUAAAAUUACUUCAUAAACUUUGUCUUUAAUGUCUCUGUGAUAUUACCUAGUAAUGAGAUGAUUCACUGUCUAAAGGAAAACAUAUUAUUAACUUUCGCUCCCGAUUCAAAUUAAGAACAAGUCCGUGAGAACCUCUGCAUCAAUAUGUUUUUGCAAGUCUGAUCACAUUAGUAAAAUAUCCCUUUUACUAGGAGGAUAUGUGAAAUAGGGGCAAAGGUUCAAUUCGAAGCAGUUUAGUUCUCUUGGUCAACGUUUGGUUUAUUUUUCUGUCUCAUUAACUGUUUUCUUAUUAUUUUUAUUUAUGCUGCAUUGUAAUCUUGAGUUUUGACAUAUUUCGGUAAUUGCAUGUGUUUCAAUGUUGAUCAGGUACCCUAUAUAUAUAUCAUAUUCCCUCUCAAAGAAAUGAUAAGGACUUAUCAACUUGUUUCUUCACUUAUCAUACAUUAUCGUCAUCUUUCCAAGAUUGUGGGCAUACUGACUUGGUAGAUUCUAUAGAAGCAACAAGAAUUAAACCCAAAGGAGACAACAGUAGUGGAAUUUUCCUUCCUCCCUUUGGGAUGGCUAAUUACAAGAUGCAAGGUGAUCUUUGGGUAAAUCCAGACACGUCUGACCUUGAAAGAAUAAUCUAUCUUCAUAGCGCUGCAGAUUCCUGGUUGAAACAGCUUGACGUUUACCACCAUGAUUAUGACUUUUUUACGUACCACUCUCCCAUGUAAAAUGCUGUCUACUAAUUUGUUUUUCCUUUGGUUUUCUUCCAGUGGUCUGGCAACUGCCAUUAACCUGGUUCCCUCUUUAGUAGUUCAGAGCUCAUUUAGAAACUGUGCGUUGAUUUAUGUCCUGGAGUUACUGUAAAUUAUGUAGCCAUGAAACUGAAAGUAUGUAACCCUGUCAACAGCAACUGGCUUGAUCCAGAAAGUUUUCUCAGAUUUUUUCCCCCUUUAUAGGCUUGCAUUAACCUGUAAUGUUCAAUUGGGGUUUGUUCAUCUUAAAUAUUCCUGCUCCCGUUUCAAGUA